rnacentral:rRNA from 1 species
ACCUCCUCACCAUUUGAGCAAUGGGGGGACGCAGGAGGAUAGGGUAAGCGCGGUAUUGGAUAUCCGCGUCCAAGCAGUUAGGCUGGGAAAUAGGCAAAUCCGUUUCCCAUAAGGCUGAGCUGUGAUGGCGAGCGAAAUAUAGUAGCGAAGUUCCUGAUUCCACACUGCCAAGAAAAGCCUCUAGCGAGGUGAGAGGUGCCCGUACCGCAAACCGACACAGGUAGGCGAGGAGAGAAUCCUAAGGUGAUCGAGAGAACUCUCGUUAAGGAACUCGGCAAAAUGACCCCGUAACUUCGGGAGAAGGGGUGCUCUGUUAGGGUGCAAGCCCGAGAGAGCCGCAGUGAAUAGGCCCAGGCGACUGUUUAGCAAAAACACAGGUCUCUGCGAAGCCGUAAGGCGAAGUAUAGGGGCUGACGCCUGCCCGGUGCUGGAAGGUUAAGAGGAGCGCUUAGCGUAAGCGAAGGUGCGAAUUGAAGCCCCAGUAAACGGCGGCCGUAACAAUAACGGUCCUAAGGUAGCGAAAUUCCUUGUCGGGUAAGUUCCGACCCGCACGAAAGGCGCAACGAUCUGGGCACUGUCUCAACGAGAGACUCGGUGAAAUUAUAGUACCUGUGAAGAUGCAGGUUACCCGCGACAGGACGGAAAGACCCCGUGGAGCUUUACUGCAGCCUGAUAUUGAAUGUUGGUACAGCUUGUACAGGAUAGGUAGGAGCCUUGGAAACCGGAGCGCCAGCUUCGGUGGAGGCAUCGGUGGGAUACUACCCUGGCUGUAUUGACCUUCUAACCCGCCGCCCUUAUCGGGCGGGGAGACAGUGUCAGGUGGGCAGUUUGACUGGGGCGGUCGCCUCCUAAAAGGUAACGGAGGCGCCCAAAGGUUCCCUCAGAAUGGUUGGAAAUCAUUCGCAGAGUGUAAAGGCACAAGGGAGCUUGACUGCGAGACCUACAAGUCGAGCAGGGACGAAAGUCGGGCUUAGUGAUCCGGUGGUUCCGCAUGGAAGGGCCAUCGCCCAACGGAUAAAAGCUACCCCGGGGAUAACAGGCUUAUCUCCCCCAAGAGUCCACAUCGACGGGGAGGUUUGGCACCUCGAUGUCGGCUCAUCGCAUCCUGGGGCUGUAGUCGGUCCCAAGGGUUGGGCUGUUCGCCCAUUAAAGCGGUACGCGAGCUGGGUUCAGAACGUCGUGAGACAGUUCGGUCCCUAUCCGUCGCGAGCGCAGGAAAUUUGAGAGGAGCUGUCCUUAGUACAAGAGGACCGGGAUGGACGCACCGCUGGUGUACCAGUUGUUCUGCCAAGGGCAUCGCUGGGUAGCUAUGUGCGGACGGGAUAAGUGCUGAAAGCAUCUAAGCAUGAAGCCCCCCUCAAGAUGAGAUUUCCCAUUCCGCAAGGAAGUAAGAUCCCUGAAAGAUGAUCAGGUUGAUAGGUCUGAGGUGGAAGUGUGGCGACACAUGGAGCUGACAGAUACUAAUCGAUCGAGGACUUAACC